AUCUGUGUAAGACGAUCUCCAGUCCACUUCCCACGAAAAGCAACCCUCCUUUACACUUUUCCUUUAUAGAACACAAAAGACACUGUCGGACAGUUUUUCUUAUCUCUUUUGCACGCCUGUUUCGAAGCUUUUUUUCUCGUGAUCGCACUUGAGUUUUGUUUAGAAGCGCGAAGAUCGAGAUCUUGUUGCAGGAUCAGAAGGAGAACUGGGAAUCGACCCACUAGAAACGGUCGACUAAGCGACGGUGCGACGUUGAUGUAGUUACCUUAGAUUACUACUUGUAUUUUGUGGAGUUCAAUCUCCAGCACUCUUUUGUUCACAACCAUUUUGGAUUAGUGUUGUGAUAUCAGUUGAUUAGUAUGUCUUUAUGUAUGAAAUAUGUUUUAA